UCUUUAUGAAGUAAGACCCCUCAGAGAUGAUGAGGUAGAUAGGCUAGAAGUGGAAGUGCGGCGACGCAUGGAGCGGACUAGUACUAAUGGUUCGAGGACUUAACCAAGUU
rnacentral:rRNA from 1 species